AUGCCUGGGGACUCCUGGGAGAGGAAGAGCCAGAAAUCCACAUCCCUCUCCUUACAAAAAUCCACGUUUUUAUCCUUUAUUCCCACUUCCAGCGGCUCUCCCUGUCUUCCCAAACCCUUUCCUUCCACCCAUUGCCAAAAUCCCAGGGGAAAGCUCCCUGAUUUCCAUCUGGACAAUUCCAUGGAAAAACCUCCCAGAUCCCUCCCAAAAUCCUUUUUUGGGGCUGAAAACACCGGGACAAAAUUUUCCCUGGGGAUGGGAAACAGCUGGAAUUCCAGCCCAGGGAAAAGUCUUGGAUUGAGCCACCCCGUGGCGGUGGAUUUGGGAAUUUUUGACUCCCGAUGUUCCAGUUUUUCAUGGAAAAUUCCUCAUGAGGGGAAAAAUGGAGGAGCUGGUGCUGGACACGGGGGUUUGGGGGGAUUUUAUCCCAAAUUUCCGGGAAUUGAGGGAUGGGUGACUCCAAAACUUAGUCCCGGUGUUUUUUCCCGAACAAAAGAGGAUCCUGGGUGGAAUUUGGGGGUUCCUGAUGGGAAUCAGGCUCUCCCUGCAAAACCCCAACUGACUAAAUCCAGGAAUCUUUGCAAUUCCUGGAUUUUCCCUCCCUGCCUCCAAUCCUUUGGGAAAAGCCCCGGUUCCAGAAAUUCUUGGAAUCAAAUCCCAAUUUAUUCGGGGCUGGUUUUGACCCAAAUCCAUCGCCACAGGAUGAUCCGAUCCAGGACUUUUCCCUUCGGCUGCCCCACCCCAAAGUUUUGCUCUUCCCAUCAAUUUUUCCAUGGAAAAAUGCAGCAUUCCCAACAUUCCGCUUUCCCAGCAUUCCCACAUUCCUUAGCCAUGGAUUGGAGCAUCCCUUUGGAUGGGAGUCAACCCUGGAUGAGGCGGGUGGAGAUUUUUGGGAAGCUGGGAAUCGUUUCCCAAAGAUUCAACAGCUCUGAUGCUUCCUUGGAAAAGAAAACGAAACCAGGAUUCUUAAAAUUCCCCCUUUUCCACCCCUUCCCAAUGGGAAUUUUAACCCCUCUCGCCCCAGAGGGAGAAGGAAAAUUGGGAAUAACCCGGAAUGUUGGGAGCGGGAUUUGUUUUCCAAAGGCGAAGCUUCCUUGGCAGACUCCGGAUUCCGCGGGGAAAUCCCGGGAGCGGCUCCUGGCCCGUCAGGCGGCUCCCAGGACAUCGGAGCAGACAGGGAAGCGCCGGGAAUCGCGGGAUGCCAAUCCCGCCGUGUCCGGAUCGCUCCGAUUUCUCCCGGCUUUUAAUUCCCUGUGA
rnacentral:lncRNA from 1 species